rnacentral:lncRNA from 1 species
GGGGCUCCCGCCUCUGAAAGAAAAACAAAGAGUAUGGAUUAGUAAAAUAUUUUAAAAGAGGGGGUAGGGGCCUAUUUAAAGAAAAAUAUACUCAUCUUUCAAUGGGCUUCUUCUGUUAUCUUCUUUCAUCCCGCGUCUGAAAUAAAAACAAAGAGUAUAGAUUAGUAAAAUAUUUCAAAAGAGGGGGUAGGGGCCUAUUUAAAGAAAAAUAUACUCAUCUUUCAAUGGGUUACUUCUGUUAUCUUCUUUCAUCCCGUCUCUGAAAGAAAAACAAAGAGUAUAGAUUAGUAAAAUAUUUUAAAAGAGGGGGUAGGGGCCUAUUUAAAGAAAAAUAUACU